AGAGUUUGAUCCUGGCUCAGAUUGAACGCUGGCGGCAGGCCUAACACAUGCAAGUCGAGCGGUAACAGAAAGUAGCUUGCUACUUUGCUGACGAGCGGCGGACGGGUGAGUAAUGCUUGGGAACAUGCCUUGAGGUGGGGGACAACAGUUGGAAACGACUGCUAAUACCGCAUAAUGUCUACGGACCAAAGGGGGCUUCGGCUCUCGCCUUUAGAUUGGCCCAAGUGGGAUUAGCUAGUUGGUGAGGUAAUGGCUCACCAAGGCAACGAUCCCUAGCUGGUUUGAGAGGAUGAUCAGCCACACUGGAACUGAGACACGGUCCAGACUCCUACGGGAGGCAGCAGUGGGGAAUAUUGCACAAUGGGCGAAAGCCUGAUGCAGCCAUGCCGCGUGUGUGAAGAAGGCCUUCGGGUUGUAAAGCACUUUCAGUCAGGAGGAAAGGGUGUGAGUUAAUACCUCAUAUCUGUGACGUUACUGACAAAAGAAGCACCGGCUAACUCCGUGCCAGCAGCCGCGGUAAUAC
rnacentral:rRNA from 1 species